rnacentral:rRNA from 1 species
AGGUUUGAAUAAAUAAAUUAAAGUUUAAUUUAGUUUUGCUGUAGAGUUGAGGUUAAAUUUGUGCCAGCAGCCGCGGUUAGACUGGUGUGGCUAACGGAAAUAGUUAGGUUGAUAGUUAUAGGUUCAAUAUGGUUGAAAAUGGGUUAUAUGUGUCGGAAGGUGAAAUUUAGUUAGUAAGGUACUUUUUUGAUUUAUUGAAAUUGAAGCUAUAAAGGUUUAAGUAUAAAAUAGGAUUAGAUACCCUAGUAUAUUUUACUAGAAAGUAGGUGGCUUGAUUAAUAUUAGUUAUGUUCUUGAAAUUCAAAGAAUUUGGCGGCACUUUAGCCCGGUUAGAGGAACCUGUCUUUUAAACGAUAGUCCACGAAAUAUCUUACUUUUUUUUGUUUUUCAGCAUGUAUACCGUCAUCGGUUUGAACGAUUUUAAUAGAAAUUAGUUAGGAAGAAUUGAGGAUUAAAAAUUAAUAAAAUUAGAUCAAGGUGCAGCUUAUGGAAAAGUAGAGAUGGGUUACAAUAAUUUUGAGUUAAAUGAAUUAAUGGGGUAAGAUUUUUAUUAUGAAGGAGGAUUUAACAGUAAGUGGGAAGUAAUAAGUCCCGCUGAUGGAGGUUCUGAAGUGUGUACACAUCGCCCGUCGCUCUCAUAAUUGAACGUGAGAUAAGUCGUAACAAAGUAGGUGUAUCGGAAGAUGUACCUAGGAAAAAUAUAAGC